AUUGAACGCUGGCGGCAGGCCUAACACAUGCAAGUCGAGCGGAUGAAGGGAGCUUGCUCCUGGAUUCAGCGGCGGACGGGUGAGUAAUGCCUAGGAAUCUGCCUGGUAGUGGGGGAUAACGUCCGGAAACGGGCGCUAAUACCGCAUACGUCCUGAGGGAGAAAGUGGGGGAUCUUCGGACCUCACGCUAUCAGAUGAGCCUAGGUCGGAUUAGCUAGUUGGUGGGGUAAAGGCCUACCAAGGCGACGAUCCGUAACUGGUCUGAGAGGAUGAUCAGUCACACUGGAACUGAGACACGGUCCAGACUCCUACGGGAGGCAGCAGUAGGGAAUAUUGGACAAUGGGCGAAAGCCUGAUCCAGCCAUGCCGCGUGUGUGAAGAAGGUCUUCGGAUUGUAAAACACUGUAAGUUGGGAGGAAGGGCAGUAAGUUAAUACCUUGCUGUUUUGACGUUACCAACAGAAUAAGCACCGGCUAACUUCGUG
rnacentral:rRNA from 1 species